CGUAUCCGUGUGAGCUUCUUGGAAAAAAACAAAAGCUAUUGUCAUUGAAAACACAACUAUGCUUACUACUAUACUCAACAUGUCAAAUCAUUUUGCUACCUAAAAUCUGAAAAAUCUCUCUUUCUCUGAUUUCUUCUUCUUCCACCUUCCUCCCUCCUCCUCCCUCUAACACAUGUUCGUCUUCCACCUUCCUCCCUCCGUCUCCCUCUAAUAUAUUUUCUGCUUUCUUCCUCUUCAUUUCCCCUUUUCUUCAUCAUCUUCUUCAUUUCCCAAAACGAAACCGACACGGUUAUCAUGUUUUUUUGGAUUUCUGUUUAAAGAUACUGUUUAGAUAUUGUGGUUAGUGUUUUUGUGGUUUAUAUGAUGAUUUUGUGGUUUAUAUGAUGAUUUUGUGGUUAGGGUUUUUGUGAUUGUGGUUGAUAUCAUGAUUUUGUGGUUAGGGUUUUGAUGCUACUAUUGGCCAAAUGGAGAUCUAUGGUGGCAACAACAGGUUACCGGCGAUUAGUGUGGUGGUGGUGGUAGAAACGGGUUUCCGACGACGAGUGUGGUGGUGGCCGAAAUCAGAAAGGUUUAUCUAUGACAUUUUCAACUUAUGUAGAAAGUGCAAGAUCUGAACUAAUUAUUAUUUAUCUAAAAUUAUUAUUAUUAUAGAUCUGAAAUUAUUAUUAUUUCCUCUCAAAUGAUAUUGAAGGUAUUGUCUUUGUUGGUUUGUUAUAUUAUUGUAUUUUUUGUGUUGAAGGUGAUUGCUGUUUGUUGAUUUGUUGUUGGUGUGGUUACAGGUUGAUGAAGGAGAUGGUGGUGUAGGUUUGAAUGGUGACCAUAUGUUAAAUAUGGUUAGUUAUUACUACUAUCAUAUGUUUCUGAUGGAUAUGUUUUUUUACGACGUGUGCAGUUUUGCGAUGAUAUAUCUAUGGUGGCGGCUAAACGUUUCUGACGACGAGAGUGGCUGUGGAUGGAUUCGAAAUGGUUGAAGUGUUUUAUCAACUAAAAUUACAACGGUAUAAGUUAUAAUUUUCAACAAUGGGUUAUGAGAAAUUUUCAAUUAUGUUUAAUGUUUUAGAGUUUUAGUCAUUUAAAAACUUGCUAUCAUAAAGGUUUGUUCAUGUUUCCCAAAAACUUGCAGAAAUAAAGAAAUCUCAAAACUAUUUAUGUGGCUUGAAAGCAUCGUGAAUGUAAUGAUUUCUUAUUUUGAUCUAAGGGCAACAAAGAAAGCAAUUUAAGUCAUUAGAAGUAUGCCAUUGAGGUUUAGCAAGGAGGGCAUACAAUAUUUGAUUCUGAAGUCAUUAUGUUUCGAACUAAUCUAUUUAUUUUUGCUUACUGUUUCCAACAAGUCAAUAUAGUUUAAGGGAGGUGCUUGCAUACCUCCACCCCUAAACUUGCAGCAAAUUAAUCCAUAGACAGGGACCUAUGCUGAUGGGAGUGUCGACAGAAAGUCGGGAUCAAGUGGCUCGGGAAGAUUGGGACUUGGGGCCACGGCUGAUCCAAAUGAAGUGAGUUAGUAUGAUGAUGUAUAUACAUCUUACAAGAAGCAGAGAAGCACAAAUUAUCACACUUCAAUGAGUGCUAGAGCAGCUGUGAGAUGAAAGCUAUCAUAAUAAGUUUCACAUCGUUGGGUCACUUGGGUGUGUAGACUGGGUCACGUUGGGUUGCCUUUGUUGAUGUUUAUCUGAAACUGGUAUUUUUUGUUUUUUAUGAUCCAAUGUUCUUUGUCAUGUUGAUUCAUGAAUGAUUGGAUGUAUCUUUCUUUGAAGGAAACUGAAGUUCCUGCAAACUUGAAAACACACUUGGUGAUGGGAUUAAAGAAAAAAGAAAGUAAAUUUCAAAUUCCUCUAAAUGCAGCACCAGACUAACAUCAUAUUUCUAUUUUUUUAAGAUCAUUUUUCCAAAAGAUACAAAAUUCUAUUUCUAUGGCUACUGCUACUAUUCCAUCUUCAUACAUAACUCAGGAACAAUUACGCUCAAAGAAUUUCAGGCGGUAAUGGAUGACAUCUUUGAAAGAUACCCUCAGGUGAAGCUAUUCCUAAAGAAUAAACAGAUGCGUGGCAUUGCUGAUCUUUUGGAAGAAUCCAAAGGAGAUGUUGAAAAAGAAUCUAUUGAAAUUACUAUCGAAGAACUCAAAACUGCACUUUUCAAUUUGGUCACUGAUGAAAUUUCCUCCUGCUACAGCUCAGUAUCUCCACAAAGAUGAAUACUUGAAAGGAAUCAAAAUAUAUGAGUCAAUUAUUAAGGCAUAUGCAUCCUAUGAUGAACAUGGAAAAGAUGAAAGGUUGAAAGAUGAGCUAUGAGCAAAGACUGUGGCUCUGUGGCUUUGUUUAAGAUGUAGCAUGAUUUGAAGUGACUCAAUAAAAAGGGAAUGAAGCCACUUAGCUUUGUGAGUAUUUUCAUAAAUAAACUGUAUUAUUUUGAAAUGGAAAACUACUCUAUUAUGUUUGAUUGCAGCCACCCAGUCGAGUCUGCAGUGUGUCAUGCCAAGUUAAUGUUAGUAUACAGUUUUGAAGAAUGAAGCAGUGAUAUGAGACAUGUAUAUAAUUGAUUUUAAAAAACUAUGAUGCAUCAUGGUUGAAUUUAAACAAUGUCAUUUUUAACCUUUGUCUUAAUCUUUCUAUAUGGUAAAUUUUCAUGAAAUUGUGCCUAAAUUAAUGUUUAUUAAUUCAUUUUGUCUGAGCAAAAAAGAAAAGAAAAUAUGUUCUUAAAAAGUGUUUUCUAUUCACCACUGGUAGUCUUGCUUCAGUUGCAGACAAUUUAAAUGAUCUU